CUUGAUCGACCCCAACCACAACGGCUGAUCGGCCGGGCGGUCCUGCCCGUAGGUUGCCAGAAUCGCCUGCGCCUC
rnacentral:antisense_RNA from 1 species